AAACAUGGCAACGUUUGUUUACAUUCGCAAGGCCGUCGAUUGUUGCACGCGCUGCCCGGCAAUUGGUAUUGGCAAUUGGCGAAGAAAAUAUGCCGGCAGCCCUUAAAGAAUGUAUUUUAAAGCCCGUCACCUCGGAACACCCACCGAUACGCAUCAACACGACGGAGCAAACGAUAGUGGGCCGAAGUCCGGAUACGUUAAUACAGGAUGCAAACUGUUCCCGGAAGCAAGUCUGUCUCAAGGCCAACCUGAAGGACGGCUAUGUGCUGGUCAAACCGCUUGGCCUGAAUCCCUCGGUGCUGAACGGCAAAGAGCUGCAACGGAACGUUGGCUAUGAAGCGGUCCACGGUGACACGAUCGAGCUGCUGCCAGGAAUGUAUAAGUACGUGUUUGAGUUCAUAUACGAGCCGUGUACCAGCCCGGAAGCCAAAUCGCCAAAGCUGAAAACAAACAACAAGCCCGUGGAUGUAAAUAGCAGCAGCAGCAGCAGCAGAAGUAGCACCGGUAAACGGUCGCGCGAGGAACACUCACCCAGCGGUACGAAAUCGAAGCGCUCGAAAGCGGAGGUGGCCGAACUGGCGUCAACAACGGCAGCGGUGGUAGGGAACGAACCCAAACCACCAAAACCCAGCGCGCAAGACGCGUGGCAAUCAUAUGACGAUGCGCUGCUCCACGUCUACACCAGUGCCGGUGUGGUGGCAUCGGACCGGGUGGCCGCCUACGACAUGGACGGCACGUUGAUAAAGACGAAAUCGGGCAACGUGUUCCCGAAGUCAAUCGACGACUGGCAGAUCGCGUUUCCGGAGGUACCGGGCAAGCUGAAGACGCUGCACCGCAACGGUUUCAAGCUGGUCAUAUUCACAAACCAGGCCGGCAUCGGCAAGGGCAAGGUGCGCAUCGAAGACUUUCGCCAAAAGAUCGAAGCGCUGGUACGGAAGCUGGCCGUCCCGAUGCAGGUGUUCAUUGCGACCGGUGCGGGCAAGUACCGGAAACCAAGGCCGGGCAUGUGGCAAACACUGUGCGAACGGCAGAAUGACGGUGUUCCCAUCGAUCGGGCCCGUAGCUUCUACGUGGGUGAUGCGGCCGGUCGGCCCGAGCUGAAGAAACCGAUCAAACGCAAAAAGGACCACUCGUGUGCCGAUCGUCUGCUGGCGCUCAACGUCGGCAUUAGCUUCCUGACGCCCGAGCAACAUUUUCAAAAUCUGCCCGACACCACGUGGACGAAGCCGGAGUUCGAUCCAAAGGAGGUUUGUGGUGGGCCGGCCUCGAGCCCGAUACUGCAACCGGCCGGUGCAGCGCUGACCAGCGUCGGUCAGGAGGUGAUCGUAAUGGUCGGUUACCCCGGCGCGGGCAAAAGCCACUUCGUUCGUCAGCAUCUCGUAACGCACGGGUACGAGGUGGUGAACCGGGACACGCUCGGCUCGUGGCAAAAGUGUGUCACACACAUGGAGGUGUCGCUCCGGCAGGGCAAGCGUGUCGUGGUCGACAAUCUCAACCCGGACGUGGAAAGCCGCAAGCGGUACCUGCUGGUGGCGAACCGGGCCAACAUCCCCGUGCGCUGCUUCCUGAUGGACGUUAGCUACAAGCACGCGCGCCACAAUAACGAGUUCCGGGAGAUGACGGACCGUACCCAUUCCACCAUCUCGGAGAUGGUCUUCAACUCGUACAAAUCUAAAUUUCAGCCACCGACCGUAGCGGAAGGAUUUACGGAAAUUGUGAAAGUGCGCUUCGUGCCGAGCUUUGCCAACAAGGAUCACGAACAACUUUACCGGAUGUUUUUGUUGGAGAAAUAGCUGGAGAAACCGAUUGCGAGAACGGUAGCGGACUGGGGAAAAGUGUUAAAAUUGAAAGCUAUUUCGACCAGCAGCACGGGUUCAAGUCGACCUCCGUUUGGAUGGAACCGGCGUAAUCAAUUAGGUGUGUACGUGAGCGGCUCCUCCAGCUUGUGUGUGAGAUGUUGCAGCGUUGCGAAAAACGUGCUCCAUCGAAUACCCUUCGAACUAAAUAUUAUUCUGGAAGUUGAGUGCUGAUUCGUACGGUUCUGCCUGUCUUGCUAGUGCGUUGAAGCAGAGCCCGCGUGCUAUUAACGAGGAGAUGCUCCUUGAUCACUGUGUGAGACCUCCCCAAACAGCAUCCCCAUCCGCGAAAUCUCCGGACGCGAUAAUAGUCGUCGUACUGCUCCUCCUUAUCUUUAGUUUGUGCGAAGAGCCCAGCAACGAUUGGCAAUAUUCACGAUAACAGAUCUGGUGCGUUAUCGAGGACCGGCGGUGUUGUUCAGUUAUUUGUUUGGUAAAAACUAUUGAAGCUUUUGUAUACCGCCACUAGCACAGCAGGCUGUUGAAGCACUGGUAAAAAAUCAAAUAUUCAAAUUGACCGUUACCGUUACCGUUAAAUGAAUUCGUGAUGCUAUCGUGCUUUUACAGCAGCAACGAUGAGUGUGCCCGGCGACGAACGAACACCACCGGAUCAGCAGGCACGUACCUUCCUAGCAGAAUCUAAAAAAGGCCGCUCCACGAUCCAUGGCGACCUGUACCACCUGCGGUUUGCCAUCGUGACGAUUCUGCGGGCGUUCAAAACGUACCUGGACGGCGGCCUGUCCACCUUUAUCGUCGCCGUUGAGGUGGAGCAAGCCGGCAAAUUCGACGACAUCAUGUACUUCUACGAAUUAUCCGAUGGCGCCGGUACGUUCUUUAUGCAGGCAAAACAUAGACUAGACGCAAGCAACAAACUGGGAAAGGAUGCGCUGUGCACUGCCGCCGAUGCAAAGUCAGCCUACGCCAUCCCGAUGUACUUUCUGUCGUUUCUCGAGAGCGAUCAUCUCCUGCCCAGCAACGCACGUUCCGUCCUGUGCACCAAUGCUGCACUCCAGCAGCAGAUCAAACGACGUUACUUUCAUAAGAUCGACCCGCAGCAGGACAGGUCCUUACAGUUUUGCGUCCUGUUCCUGUUAUCAGUUCACCGGUGACCACCAGCUACCAGCACUAACCGAAACACUAAGACGCGUAAGCUUCGCCCAACUGGGUGCAAGGCUCGCGCAGACUGUCACUCGUGCUGAGGUACUUACCUUCGACGACACACUGACCAACACCUGUGCCGGCUUCCUACACGACCGCGUGCUCGAGGCAUUACGCACGGACGUAACGAACAAUUCGUCUGGAAAUUCCAUUUUCCGGUUUAAAGAAAGCUUUCUCACUGCCGACGACGAUUCCACGCCGGAAACAAUAGUGCGGGAAGCUUUUCGUACUGCGUACGAAACGAACGCUGUGGUGCCACCGAUGAUCAACCUAAGCGAGCUGCAGAUCAAAGUUAAUCUUGAUGCGUUCGCAUCCGCCAGAAACACGGACGACAGGGAUAUCGUUUUGAAGUUUUACCGUAAACUUUAGCUCGUGCUUAACUCCUUGGAUGUGGACGGUUUGCAGCGCAAAGCAAUGACCCUGCUACCGGAGUGGUGUGACGCAGAACGUGAAGCCGUGUUAUACCGGUUGCAGCAGAAGCUGUUGGAAGCAAUGAAUAGUAAGCAGCCGGUCCCGCUGGACCUGCCAAAGAUACAGCAAUGCUUCACGGACUUUAGCGAGCUGGAAGCAGUGCAUACGGGACUUGUAACAUUCGUCGAAAAAAUACCUCGGCCCCUAUCCGCAUCUGGAAGUGCAGCGGAACCGGUUGGAAGCUUCACCGUGGUACGGCUUUCUAACGAAGGAGUCACACGGGGAGAUCGGUGCGUUUCGCAGUACGCCCCAGUACGAGCCUCCGGUGAGCUGUCUGUUGGUAGCGCAAAUGUUAGCGUUAAUCAAGCAGGAAACAUUCGUCAUUGAUUGUGGCAAGUUUAGCGAAGGGCUGAAGGAUGUGCUUUCGUAUCUGAGGGACGUAAAUCAUCCGACCGUAAAAGUGACCACCGUUCUCGGAAUGCGCGGUGCAGUGUCAAUGGCUGAGCUGGAGCAAUUUGCAAAGCACUAUCGGCAAAAGAUCGUCGUUAUUGGUGACGGGCCGUCCGCUCCAAGGCAGCAGUGGACGGUGGAGCUUUUCGAGCAGUUUGCCGGGACAGAUCUCACGCCCGCUAGUUGGAGCAAGCUGUUUGAACGAACCGAAUGCAAGUUGCGAUUGUGUAAGCCAGCCGGUAAGAUAGGAAGCCAUAAUGUGAAAGACUUUGCGUUCCCAGCUGUCCAAGGCGGACGUGGCGAACAUCAUCGCGAGCGAGCCGAGGGACGAAGAACCGGCUCACUCCGCUAUCCAUCCCGACGAGGACCGCACCGCCGCUAAGGUUUGUGUCUUGCUGAAUGAUGCGGGAUAUAGGAAAUCCUACUACCUAACGUGGCUUGCCUGGCGUUUGCCGGUCCGUUAUCCUGCCCUGUUUGUCGUCAAGCUCGUCGCCAUUGAAUAUUCGGAACCUCAACAAACGGUGGAACGAGGAGAACGACACAGAUCGGGCCAAUGCCGAUCGCUGUGCGGAACUGCUGUCCCUGCAAACCGGUCAGCUAGAGUUGGACGAAGCAAAGGUAGCCCGACUGUCCGCCGAAGAGCUGGUUCAGUUGCGCCUGUUCCGGGUGAAGUUCCGGGAGCGGCGGCUCGUGCUGAUCCUGGACGGAUGCGACGAGAUUGCGCCCGACUACAAGGAUGUGGUGAUGCGUUGCAUGGCACGGUUUGUCGCACUCGGCGGGAUACGGCUGCUGUACCAGUCUAGCCGACCGUACGGAUUUGAGCAAGAACUGCGUACCUUCAACCAUCGUCAGAUUUACCGGCUAAAAACCACUGUCGCGUGAAGGAAUCGUGCGUUCGUGGCACAAAUUUCUGCGCGAAAAGCUACCCGCCUACCGGACCGAUGGAGUGGACCAGUCCAUGCUGUAUAUGGUGCAGACUGUACUGCUGUCAGAAAUUGGGAAGCGCGAAGCAGAACCCUCACACACCAUAUCGUUCGACACGCUGGACGUGCUGCGGCUUGACCAGUACCGGCUUGUGAAACGGUUCGUUUGGCUAAAGCUAGCCAUUUUCCACACCGAUAAAAUGGGCACGACCGAUUCCGCCCUGAAGACGGUGGCGGCCAACAGGCGGCAGAUGGCAGAGAAUAAGAAAAUAGUGCUGCGCCACAUGCUGUUGGCCAUGUACGUCAUUUUCAACCGACAGGACUGUGUCAGGUUACUGAGGGAGGAAUGCGAGACUGUUCCCAGGCUGAUGAAGGCGGUGCUCGAGGGCGAAGAAAAAACGGGCUUCGUGCUGGGCGUCGUGAACGGAAUUCCACGAUUCGUUCAUCGCACAUUUGCCGAGUUCUUCGCCGGUUGCUGACUGUACGAGAACCGGCCUCGGUUGGGCCAGGAGCGCAUCUUCAAGUCGCUGCCGUUUUGGUCAGAAUCCUUCAGGCAAACGCGCUAUUUCUUCGACUGUCUGCUGCUGAAGGAAGCGGGUGGCGGUAAGCAACAGGUGCACGAAAUGCUGCGUGAUAGCGCGUCUGCUGCUCCUGCGGCCGAUGAUCGCUCGCCAAUACCAUUCGCCGGCGGCUCAUACCUUGAGGCGAUGCUGUAAAACAUGCCGCCGGAUAAUCGUAUCAAUGCCGCGGACACGCUGUUUGGAUGGAGCGCUUUAGAGUACGCGUUUGUGAUGCAUGAUGGCGAUGCGGUAGCCAAACUCGCAGCUGCCGGCGCCAAACUACCACACCUAGACCAUCUGUUUGAGCAGCUGUUUGCCAACGAUUCGACGGACGUUACGUUCAAGCAGGCUGUCAUGUAUGCUUCCUACCUGGGAAGCACAGCCAAACGCUAGCGGACAAAGCCGAUGAACUGUGCGCCCGUGUCGCACACUAUUUGCUGGACGAGAGAAGACAUUUGCGCGCCCAGCGAACACCUGCACGCGUCCACAAUGUUAGAAUAUUGCGUGCAGCGGAAAAGCGUAACCAUGUUACACACCAGCUCAUCGCACGGUCCGACCGACGGGAGCACAUUCUGGCGACUCUGUCCGAUUCCUUGCUCAAGCUGUCCUUUUUGGGAGGAGGCGGAAGAUACGGAAACCUAUCUCUGGCAGCACUGCUCGCUGGACAGAACGAGCGACACGUUUCUGCAGGAGCAUGUUGUGUACGCGAUACAAAAAAAAGCAAAGUUCCCGUGUUUCGAAGGAUCUUUCACGAGCUGUAUCGCCGGUACGAGGUGGCGUGUGCGGACGAAAGCACCAUUACGACGCUGGCGAACUACACUCACCGGCAUGGGAAUGCCGAUUUCUUUGGGUUUCAGUGUUGUCCCAGGAAGGAACGCACUUUGCCUUUCGGCAGUGUAGUGGGCAUAGAUAAUACCUUCCCCAUACAGCUGUUGGCUAAAGCGGCAGAAGUUGGACGGGUGCAGUUGAUGAGUUACAUGAGUGCAGAAGACGAACAUGAACGUCAGCUUCGAGAUAAUGGAGCAGCUGGUGGAAUGUUUCUACGUGCGCAGAUUUUUGAUGUACGAUACGCAAGAUCAUCGCUGCUGUACGCCUGCGUUCGAGUAUCUGCUCAGCAAACUUUCGAUCAAUUUCGCCCAAUAUGGGCCCACUUGGUUCGAGUUUAUCGUCGAGAAGGGCUGCCUGUACAUGUUACCCAGCCUGCUCUCCCUAUUGUUCGAUCCGGGGCGGAUGCGAACCUGCUAAACAAUCCCGAUCAACGGAUGACUCGAUUAUUCAUUUACCCUGCAGGACCAAGCGUACGUUGAUUUCUUCGACCCUUCGCACGAGCGGCUAACAGUGGCGACAGGUGCACGGACACAUACGUUUAAACCGCUUUUUGCGUCCCUGUUUGCGCUAUCGUUAAGGGAUAAUGCAUCAUAUGUGACGGAUUAUCUACUGGAGCAUCGUAGCUUUGCAGCGCACCUGAUAGGAACCACCAGGCAGCUGAUCGCGUGCUGUGAGUAUGCAAUAGGCAAGCGUAACAUGAAGGCGGUUCGAAUGAUUUUCCACCAGCUGUGCAUGCAGCAGCAGAUUGAGUGUGCUGCAGAGAGCAGCAUUACGCCGGAAGGUGAUGAUCGGGUAUCGGGAACGAGGGAAAUUGAGCAUUUGGCAAGACAACAUUGCUGUCCCCAGAUGCACACUCGUGCCAGAGAUUCCAGCAUUGCAAUAGAGGAUAGAAAAAUGUUUCAACUACAAUUGUUGGCGUGUGCGGUAAGAGCCAGAAGCGUUCCUGUGGCUAGUUACAUAGUACAGAAGACGAGAAUGCCCAUAAACAGAGAGACAAUUGGGCAACUGGUGCAAUGUUUCAGAUGUUUGAAGUCGCACCGGAACUCUGUGCCCGCGUUCAAAUAUCUUCUUCGCUUGUACGAUCACGCUCAGGAUGGAUCCUAUCUGUUUGAGUUUAUCGUCGAGAAGGGCUGCCUGUACAUGUUACCCGGUUUGUUCGCCCUAGGGUUCGAUCCCCAACGGAUCAAAUUGGAACGUUUUGCGAACCUAUUGAACGAUCCAGAUCACCGUAUGGCUCAUUUAUUUAUGUACCUCCAGAAACAUGCGUACGUGGAAUUCUUCGUACGUAAGCGACUCACAGAAGAGACGGAUCAGGCGGAGCGCCAUUUUGAUGCCUUCCUCGAGUCAUUGGUUGGUCUAUCAUUGAAGGAAAAAAUGUUCAUUGUUGCAAAUUAUCUGCUGGAACAUCGCAGCCCGCUGCUGGAAAUGAGCAGUGACAGUGACCUGAUCGCAUGCUGUGAACAUGCAAUAGUGGACAAGAAUCUGAAAGUGUUUAGAGACAUCUUCCACGAGCUGUGCAUCCGGCAUGAGAUUGAGUGUGCUGAAGAGAGCAGCAUUGCAUCGGAAAAUGACAAUCAAGAGGAGGAGAACAAACUGAUGGACUUGAAGGAUUUCCUGUUUGGUUGCUGCUGUCCUUAUAUGUACAAUAAGUACAAUGUAUUAAAUAACUUCCUGCACAACAAGCACAUCCGUGAUACGUCGUUUCGAAGAAAAUUGUUGGCCGAAGCGGUACAAGCCGGUAGCGUACCGGUGACCAGUUACAUCGUUCACAAAACAAGCAUGUCCGUCAAUCUGGAGAUGAUGGGGAAGCUGAUGGAAAGCUUGAUGCAGUAGAGGAAAAGUCGCUACUUUUCCGAUAUUCAUAAGCCGUCUGCACCGGCACUGAAACAUCUGCUCAGCAAGUUGGUCUGCCCCUCCCAGCAUGCAGGAUCAACGCUGUUUGAGUUUAUCGUUAAUAGGGGUUGCCUGUACAUGUUACCCGGUGUGUUCUCCUUGGGUUUUGUCGGCCCGGAACAGAUCGAUCUGCAAUGCCUUGUGGACCAUUUAACCAGGAAUGAGGAUGAAAGGCGCACGGCUAACCUGUUUCGGUACCUUCAACAAACAUCGUUUGUGGAUUGUUUCGACCCAUUGGAAACGAUGGCAGGGGAGAGCCUUUUCCAUAUGGCUGUAAGGUUGAACAAUUGCUUUGUAGCACAACGGAUCUUUCAAGCCAAGUACGGCGAUCAUUCUAAGGACGAGCAAAGGAACGUUUUGCUCCAGUUGCUUGGUGAGGACCGUGCGUGCGAGCUGAUUCGAAAGUGGAACAUUUAAGGUGCUAAUGAGCGAUGUGAUGCUCAAUCUACUCCUUCGUCCUUGUGGACAUGGACAAAAACAAUUCCUGUAAGUGACAGCAAGUGAGCUUAAAUUAAGCACUCUUCACUAUUUGCCGCAACAACUUUCAUUCGACAGACAGCCGUUUUUUUUUCUUUCGGUGCCAAAUAAAGCUUAAGGACGUUUGUAAUAAAUUGA